GACGUAGGGGGCCAGCGUUGCUCGGAAUUACUGGGCGUAAAGGGUGCGUAGGGGGUGAGGAAAGUCGGAUGUGAAAUCUCCCGGCUCAACUGGGAGGGGUCAUUCGAUACUGGCGGGCUCGAGGCCGGUAGGGGGAAGCGGAAUUUCCGGUGUAGUGGUGGAAUGCGUAGAUAUCGGGAGGAACACCAGUGGCGAAGGCGGCUGCCUGGACCGGUUCUGACACUGAGGAGCGAAAGCGUGGGGAGCGAUCCGG
rnacentral:rRNA from 1 species